rfam:Coccomyxa sp. C-169 plastid, complete genome.
GUCUCAGUAGCUCAGUGGUAGAGCGACCGGCUGUUAACCGGUUGGUCGUAGGUUCAAGUCCUACCUGGGACG